AAGAUCAGUUUGGCAUCUUCUUUUAAAAAAUUGUGAACAAAUCUUUCCAUUUAAAGCCCUACCCUAUUCCACCCUUCUAUCCAGAAAUACAAUUCCUAAGCUUUUCUGAGGUUCUAAAAUAGAACUGCCUCUCUCUCUUUCCCCUCUUUCUCCCUUUCUUCCUGCCUACCUCCUUUUCUUUCUCCCUUAUCUUCUCACUCCUUGGCUUAACUUUAAUCAAUCCAGCUUUCAGUUUCCAAAAGUGUUUUGAUAUCAUCAUCUGUUUUUGUCUCCUUUUUCAUUUUUGCUUGUGUAGUACGAUUUAAAAAAUAUAUAAAUAUACUGUCAUUUAAAUGGUGUUUCAGAAAGGAGUAGAGAUAAACACAGGUUUAAUCCACUGUAUUUUAAAAACCUCAUUUUAUGAUAUGACCACCCAUUCAAGAAUAUGUCUCCAUUUAUUUAAGUCAAAUCUACUAAUUAAAUUUAAUGUUUGUCUUCAUAGAGAUUAAAUGCAGCUUUUAUUAAGUUACAUUCUAAAUAAUGCAGUUUUUCCUUGUUAUUUAGAAUGAACUCUCUUUUUCCUUUCUAUUUUCUACCUAGUUAUAACUUGGUGAUAUUACUUUAGUGUACUUAUAUCUGGAAAAUUUAUUAAACUCAUUGGUUCUAUAAUUUCUGCACUGGUUGUUUUAGAUUUCAUAGCAUAUAAUCAUUUUAUUCAAAUAAUAUUUUAUCUCUCUAUGUGUUUUAUUAAUCUAUUAUGUUUCUUUUUCUGUUUUUAUGUAUAAAAAUAUUCAAAAACAUUUAAAAUAAUAUUGGUAAUAAUUAAUAUCCUUAUUUGACCCCUAAUUUGGAAGGAAUACUUUUAGUAGAGUUCUAAUGGAUAUAAUAUGGACUUCUGUUUUGAAAUGUCAUUAUUUUUAGAAUGUAUUUUAAGACAAACUAAAAAACUGAAAAAAACAUGUCCAAAGUUCACAGAAGCCAACUUUAAAGGGGCUCCAUCUGGACAUAUUUGGGACACUCAUGUCCCCAAUCAAAUAAAUAAUGAUAAAAAUGGGUUAUAACACACUGAUUUAAAAACAGUAAUCCAUAAGUCACAUCGAUACAUAAAUUAGAAAACAGAUGAUGGGAAAGUGCUUUUUUAUAGAAGAAUGCCUGCUAAUAAAUGUAGAAAGUAUAUGAGGAAUGGAAAAUUACUUUUAUUUACAAUAAAUCAAUUCAGGCAAUAGUCACCAGUUGAUGCUAAAAUUGUUGGGUAAAAAAAUAAAAAUAGAAAUAUAAUUAUCUUCUUUAAUAAAAAUAAAAUUAUAUGGAUCAAUUCACAGAUAACUUAUUAAUAAGAAAGAUACUUACAAAAUGGAGAAAUCUGGCAGCUACCAUCUUAACUAUAUGAUUAAAUUUCACAACACCAGUAAAGGACAGUGUCGCAUCACGUGCCUCCUAAUAUGUUGUACUUCAGAAGAGGAAAAGGUGCCUCUUUUGUUAUAUUCCUGACAAUAAUGUGUAACCUAAGUAGAAUCCUCAGACAAAUUUGAAAUGAGAGGAAGAGUCUGAAAAGCAACUGACCUAGACUCUUCCAAAAUGUCAGUGAUGUGGAAAAACUAAACAAAAGUAGGGAAUUUCUCUAACUGAAAAGAGAAUGAUGAUUGUUUGGAUCCUAAUUUUAAAAAGAAAACAAUAAAACAGCAAAACCAACAGAAGGUUAGAGUGCCUUGGAGACAAAUGGCAAAAGAAAUACAGAUUGUAAAUUAUAUGCAGUAUCAGUGUAAAGUUUCCUGAACAUGAUAAUUAUAUCAUCGCAGUUAUGUAGAGUGUCACUGUUUGGUGAUACAUACUGAAGUACAUAUGGAUCAAGUGCCAUGGACUUUUACAAGUAACUCUCAAAUGGUUCAGCAAAAGCAGUGUAUGUAUGCUGGUGGCUGCAGCUCCGAUUUGAUCCCUAACCUGGGAAUCUCCAUUUGCCGAGGGAGCGGCUAAAGAAAUGGCAAAAAGACCAAAAAAAAAAAAAAAAACUAGGAAAACAGAUGUAACUGCAACAUCCAGAGAUAAUCAUUUCAGUGCUUAUCCUUCCAGAUCGUUCUCUUUAGGGACAUCUGUUUUUUAGGUGAGUUCAUAUGGUAUAUGCCCCUUUACUUGAAAUUUUUUUCAUUAACAAUAUAUUGUGGACAUCUUUCCAGAUUAUUUAAUUUUCUUCUAGACUAUUAUUUUAAGUAGCUGUACAAUAUUGUGUAUUUGUUCCAUGACUUAUUCAAAUAGCUUCUGUUACUGAUUUAAUUUUUUUAUUUUACUAGUGUUCUUAUUACAUUGAUGAAAUAAAAUCUUUGGUCACAAUUUCUUUUAAAUAAAAAAUAUAAUAGCUAGAUCAAAGAGGUUGAAAUUUUAAAAUUUUUAUACGUAUUGCUUAACUGCUUUUUUAAAAAGUACUCUAUCUUGAAAUAGCUUAAUAUAAUUUUUAGAGAAAACCAAUAAAGAAAGUGGCUGGUUUAAAUACUGAGAACUCUACAUAAUCUCUUAGCAAUCUAUAACAUUGUUGGUUGAUUUUAUGAAGGUGAGAAUAAAUUAGUUAUUUCCUGCUAUCAUUAGGAAUAACAUUAAAAAUUUCCGGUAUAAAUUAAAAGUGAGAAAGAGCAUAAGACAUUUUACCAAUAUUAUAAAAGCUAUGAGUUUAUAUAGGAAACAAUUUGAUGAAUGUAGUCUUUCCUUCUUUUUUCCCAAAAUAGAGAUGUUUUUAUUAAUAUUCUAAAUAAUAAAAAUAACAUGAGCUCAUGUUGCAAGUCUGUUUUGCAAGUGGCUUUUAUAAAAGUCUUGCUAAAGUCUUCCCAUAUUACUACACAGAUUUCCCUUACUCUGUAAUUCCCGAAUACUAUAUGGUAUGGUUAUAUCAUAUUUUAGUAAAUAAAUUCCUCAUUGGUAGUUAUUUAGAUUAUUUUUUACUCAGUUACAAAUAAUAAGUAUAUUUUUUGUCUUUUACAGACAUCCAUGUGCUUUAUUUAUUCCAUGAAAUAAAUAUAGCUGUAGCAGUAGAACUGUUAUUGAUAACAAUGUUUGAUAAAAUAUUUGAUAAAAUUGAUAUCAUUGUUAUUGAUAAAAUGAUAAAACUCUGAGUUCUGGAAUUAGAGCUUGAAUACUACCCUCCAUCACGGACAUGCUGUUUAACUUUGGCAAGCUAAUUGAUCUUACCAUUAAAAUGACAUGAAAUCUAAUGGUUGAGGAAUUCUGUAUCCUCUCCUAAUAAUGAAAUUCAUGUAAGGCAAUUACUUUGUACCUGUUGUACUUGGCACAUAGUAAGUGCUAAAAUAACCCUAUUGUUAACAUAAAUUUUUUCUUUAGUGAAUUUUCUGUUCAUUUCUUUUGGACAGUUUCCUUUUAUUUUAUUAAUUAAUUUUUGUAUCAAGAAUAUUUACUAGUGGAGUUCCUGUAGUGGCACAGCAGAAACAAAUCUGACUAGUACCCAUGAGGACACGGGUUUGAUCCCCGGCCUCCCCCAGUGGGUCAGGAAUCCAGCGUUGCCCUGAGCUGUGGUGUACAUUGCUGAUGGGACUUGAAUCCCGAGUUGCUGUGGUGGCGGUGUAGGCCAGCAGCUGUAGCUCUGAUUCGACCCCUAGCCUGGGAACUUCCAUGUGCCACAAAUGCAGCCUUUAAAAGAAAAAAAUCAAUAGUCCCUACUAUAAAUUAAAAAUAUUUUUUCUCAAUUUAUCAUGUCUAUAUUCUAGUUUAGUCAGAUAUGUUAGUCUUUUAUGAUUUCUGGUCUUAGUGUCAUGCUUAGAAAGGAAAUCUCUACUGCAAGAUUUUGUUAAUCCUGUAUUUUCAUCUAGAGAUCUUAGUUUUAUUUUCUAUGUUUAAAUAUUUUCCUCUUUUGUGUGUGGCUAGUACUGCUUCUCCUCCAUUCUCUCCUCUAUUCCCCCAAGGGACAUAUUGGAAAUGUUAGAGUCCUUUUUAAGUUAUCACCACAAUUGAGAAAGCACUACUGGUAUUCACUGGUCAGGAGCCAGGAAUGUCUGCCAGACUCCUUCUGUGCACAGAACUUCUCUCAGUAAAGAAUUUCCGCAUACUCUCAAUCUUACCUUUGCUUUCUGCCAACAACAAACAUCUGAAAACUAAGCAUCUAAGAAUUAAAAAUAAAAAUAACUGGAUUUAAUUCAUUGCUUUGCAGAUUAACUGAGUUUAAAAAUAGUAACACCUGAAUUACAGAGAAAACCUGAAUUUCAUGUACCGGGGGAGUGUUUAGAUUAGUACAACCAUUUUUCGUUGUCUUAUUGUUAAUUGCUCCUUUUCCAUGGUAGUAUAUUCUUGUUUAUUGCCACAAUACCCCUCAAAUAUAACGGAAAACAAAACUAGAAAAUUUCAGUUACCUCUCCUGUUUCUUGCGUUAUUUCUCCUCAUUGAGUACCAUUUGCACAGCUUGUUCACCUUACUCUCCUUUUUGAGCUGCUGAUUUUCUUUUUAUAGCUAGUGAUUUUUAUUUGUAUAGAUAGAUCUUCAUUAGUAGAAUUGAUGUCUCUUUUAGGUUUCUUCAGCAGAUUGGUAAGUCUGGUUGAAGGGAUUCCUCAGCAGAACUUGGCUGGGGAACUGAACUUUUAUGACUUAAUAUGAUCAAUUUGUAAAAUAGAAGUUCAGUCCUUUUCCAUACAUCACAAUGGUCAAAAAGUCAUUCCUUCUUAUUUUAUACUUUUUUUUAUAAUAUAUGUAAGAUAAAGUAGUUUGAGUUCAUAGCCUUCUGAUGGUAAAAGUUUAAGAAUACUACUUAAAAGAGUUGAAAAAGAUAUAGCUUACAAAUAAUUUUCCAUAAACAUCAUUUCUCUUAGUGGGUUUCUUUAAAGGUAAUUACCCACAAGAG
rnacentral:lncRNA from 1 species